rnacentral:rRNA from 1 species
GAAUGCUGACAUAAGUAACGAUAAAGCGGGUGAAAAGCCCGCUCGCCGGAAGACCAAGGGUUCCUGUCCAACGUUAAUCGGGGCAGGGUGAGUCGACCCCUAAGGCGAGGCCGAAAGGCGUAGUCGAUGGGAAACGGGUUAAUAUUCCCGUACUUGGUGUUACUGCGAAGGGGGGACGGAGAAGGCUAUGUUGGCCGGGCGACGGUUGUCCCGGUUUAAGCGUGUAGGUGUGUGUUCCAGGUAAAUCCGGUUCACUUUAACACUGAGGCGUGACGACGAGGCACUACGGUGCUGAAGCAACAAAUGCCCUGCUUCCAGGAAAAGCCUCUAAGCAUCAGGUAACAUCAAAUCGUACCCCAAACCGACACAGGUGGUCAGGUAGAGAAUACCAAGGCGCUUGAGAGAACUCGGGUGAAGGAACUAGGCAAAAUGGUGCCGUAACUUCGGGAGAAGGCACGCUGACACGUAGGUGAAGUGAUUUACUCAUGGAGCUGAAGUCAGUCGAAGAUACCAGCUGGCUGCAACUGUUUAUUAAAAACACAGCACUGUGCAAACACGAAAGUGGACGUAUACGGUGUGACGCCUGCCCGGUGCCGGAAGGUUAAUUGAUGGGGUCAGCGCAAGCGAAGCUCCUGAUCGAAGCCCCGGUAAACGGCGGCCGUAACUAUAACGGUCCUAAGGUAGCGAAAUUCCUUGUCGGGUAAGUUCCGACCUGCACGAAUGGCGUAAUGAUGGCCAGGCUGUCUCCACCCGAGACUCAGUGAAAUUGAACUCGCUGUGAAGAUGCAGUGUACCCGCGGCAAGACGGAAAGACCCCGUGAACCUUUACUAUAGCUUGACACUGAACAUUGAGCCUUGAUGUGUAGGAUAGGUGGGAGGCUUUGAAGUGUGGACGCCAGUCUGCAUGGAGCCGACCUUGAAAUACCACCCUUUAAUGUUUGAUGUUCUAACGUGGACCCGUUACCCGGGUUGCGGACAGUGUCUGGUGGGUAGUUUGACUGGGGCGGUCUCCUCCUAAAGAGUAACGGAGGAGCACGAAGGUUGGCUAAUCCUGGUCGGACAUCAGGAGGUUAGUGCAAUGGCAUAAGCCAGCUUGACUGCGAGCGUGACGGCGCGAGCAGGUGCGAAAGCAGGUCAUAGUGAUCCGGUGGUUCUGAAUGGAAGGGCCAUCGCUCAACGGAUAAAAGGUACUCCGGGGAUAACAGGCUGAUACCG